AUUGAACGCUGGCGGCAUGCCUUACACAUGCAAGUCGAACGGCAGCACGGGAGCAAUCCUGGUGGCGAGUGGCGAACGGGUGAGUAAAGUAUCGGAACGUGCCCAGUCGUGGGGGAUAACGUAGCGAAAGUUACGCUAAUACCGCAUACGAUCUAUGGAUGAAAGCGGGGGAUCGCAAGACCUCGCGCGAUUGGAGCGGCCGAUAUCAGAUUAGGUAGUGGGUGGGGUAAAGGCUCACCAAGCCGACGAUCUGUAGCUGGUCUGAGAGGACGACCAGCCACACUGGGACUGAGACACGGCCCAGACUCCUGCGGGAGGCAGCAGUGGGGAAUUUUGGACAAUGGGCGAAAGCCUGAUCCAGCCAUGCCGCGUGCAGGAUGAAGGCCUUCGGGUUGUAAACUGCUUUUGUACGGAACGAAAAGGUUUGGCCUAAUAAGCUGAGCUCAUGACGGUACCGUAAGAAUAAGCACCGGCUAACUACGUGCCAGCAGCCGCCGUAA
rnacentral:rRNA from 1 species